GAGUUUGAUCCUGACUCAGGGUAAACGCUGGCGGCGCGCCUAAUGCAUGCAAGUCGAGCGGUCUUGUCGGCUUCGGCUGGCAGGACAGCGGCAAACGGCUGAGUAACGCGUGAGUAACCUAUCCCUUGGUGGGGUAAAACCUCGAGAAAUCGAGGCUAAUACCGCAUAAGAUCCCUGUGCCUUGGUGCGGGGAGGAAAGCCUUCGGGCGCCAGGGGAGGGGCUCGCGCCCUAUCAGGUAGUUGGUAGGGUAACGGCCUACCAAGCCGAUGACGGGUAGCUGGUCUGAGAGGACGGCCAGCCAGAGGGGGAUUGAGACCCGGCCCCCACUCCUACGGGAGGCAGCAGCAGGGAAUCUUGGGCAAUGGGCGAAAGCCUGACCCAGCGACGCCGCGUGGAGGAAGAAGGCUUUCGGGUCGUAAACUCCUUUUCCGAGGGAAGAGAAAGGACGGUACCUCGGGAAUAAGCCCCGGCUAACUACGUGCCAGCAGCCGCGGUAACACGUAGGGGGCGAGCGUUACCCGGAUUUACUGGGCGUAAAGGGCGCGUAGGCGGCUUGGCAAGUCUUCUGUGAAAGCUCCUGGCUUAACUGGGAGAGGUCGGGGGAAACUGCCAAGCUAGAGGGCAGCAGAGGAGAGUAGAAUUCCCGGUGUAGCGGUGAAAUGCGUAGAUAUCGGGAGGAAUACCAGUGGCGAAAGCGGCUCUCUGGGCUGUUCCUGACGCUGAGGCGCGAAAGCGUGCGUAGCAACCCGGAUUAGAUACCCUGGUAGUC
rnacentral:rRNA from 1 species